UACGUAGGGGGCUAGCGUUGUCCGGAAUCAUUGGGCGUAAAGCGCGCGUAGGCGGCCAGAUAAGUCCGGUGUGAAAGUCAAAGGCUCAACCUUUGAAUGCCGCUGGAAACUGUCUGGCUUGAGUCCGGAAGGGGCGAGUGGAAUUCCUGGUGUAGCGGCGAAAUGCGCAGAUAUCAGGAGGAACACCAAUGGCGAAGGCAGCUCGCUGGAACGGUACUGACGCUGAGGCGCGAAAGCGUGGGGAGCAAACGGG
rnacentral:rRNA from 1 species